ACCCGCACAAGCGGUGGAUGAUGUGGAUUAAUUCGAUGCAACGCGAAAACCCUACCUACCCUUGACAUGUCCGGAAUCCCGAAGAGAUUUGGGAGUGCUCGCAAGAGAACCGGAACACAGGUGCUGCAUGGCUGUCGUCAGCUCGUGUCGUGAGAUGUUGGGUUAAGUCCCGCAACGAGCGCAACCCUUGUCAUUAGUUGCCAUCAUUUGGUUGGGCACUCUAAUGAGACUGCCGGUGACAAACCGGAGGAAGGUGGGGAUGACGUCAAGUCCUCAUGGCCCUUAUGGGUAGGGCUUCACACGUCAUACAAUGGUCGGUACAGAGGGUUGCCAACCCGCGAGGGGGAGCUAAUCCCACAAAGCCGAUCGUAGUCCGGAUCGCAGUCUGCAACUCGACUGCGUGAAGUCGGAAUCGCUAGUAAUCGUGGAUCAGCAUGUCACGGUGAAUACGUUCCCGGGUCUU
rnacentral:rRNA from 1 species